CCUCUUUUUUUUGUCAUCUGAAAUAUUACUUGUCAUUAUUGGGGGACUUGAGGCUGAUCGAUGAAGUGUAUAUAUGUCUGUCGGACAUUUGAAGAGGAAAAACAUGCUUCAGGAAUAAGGAAAAUGUCUGCAGUGAAAGCAAAGGGUUAGGAUGAGCCUCAGUGACUGACGAGUUCAUUUCAAAAUCCAAGGGCACAUAGAUGGUAAAUUAGUACAUAUUGCAAAUACAGUCAACGAGCAAACCCCAGCCACUGGAAGGAAAGGGAAUGUUAGUACCGUAGUCAUCACACGCCUGAACAGAGUGUCUGCGUAUCUUAAAUGUAGAUCUGAAUCAUUGCUCUUUUAUCCCGCUAAAUGCUGAUUGCAAAGAAAUGUUUGGGCAUUGUUGACUUUCUGUCCAUAAAGAAAAGUCAGGAAGAUUCACAGAAUCCAUCACCUGCACUCGUACAUGCAUGUGUGCUUUAAAUUCCCCUAGGAUGUGAAACAAUUAGGCAGAGAAACUGCACUGUGGUCUCCCUUCCUCACUUCUUUCCCUCCCUGUUUUGCCUUUUCGAAAAUGUGAUACCUGAUCUCUAGGUCUAGCAGGCUGAGAAAUUUUUUGUAUUUGUAUAAUACGGUGUCUGGCCUUCCCCCUGACCUGCUGAUGUAUUUUUGGCCUCAUUAGUAGUCAGGGAGAUGCCUUAGUGCAUCCAGCACUGCAAGUCAGGGAUGAAACACACUACAACAGAGAGAGGGAGCAAGCGCGAGAGGAUAUUAGAAGAGAGGCUUGUCUCCAAGAUAUGGAAGGAAGUGAGAAAUGACAAGGCUGCAAGCUUUGUAUGUAGGAGACCGGCAGGGCGGGGGAGCGGCGAGGAGAGCCAAGUGGAUUCUCAGAAAAGGGGGGAAGCCAUCGAAGAGCUAAAGGUGAUUAGAGGGGGAUAUUGAUUUCUUAUUCUGCCAGAGAUUUAAGCAGGCAUGCGAGGAAUCUGCACCAUGGUUGGCAAAAGGAGACCCGUUGCCUCCUGUAACCAGACACUCGGGCUUUCCAGGAGCCCAGGGAGCAAGCCGAGAAGAAAGGGGGCAGUGUGGUCUAGGAAAAUUCAACUUGUCGCUGAUUUGUGCCUGAUGCCUGCUGUCCGUCAGCAGCCUCCCUUACAAUCUUUUUUUCUCUCUCUCCCUUUUUUUUCCCUUGCCUUCUCCUUCUUCACUGAAGCCUAGGGGAGCCAGUAAAGAUUAAAUGUGCUUCUCAAAGGCAGCCACUUCAUGCUGCUAUGUCGAAAGGGCCAUUAUUAUUAUUAUAUUUUAAUAGUAAAAGAGAAAGGGAGAGAGGUUGAGCGAGCGAGAGAGAAGCUAGGUGUGAUGAUGACAGACUAGCUUUUCUGAGAGGAAAAGGAAAAGGGAAGGGAGAGAAAAAGGAGAGCCCCUGAGCUCAACGGAGGAUUGUGCCUGAGAAGAACCUACAGAGGCCUGGAAUAAAAGAAGAACAAGAAGAAGAAAGAAAUGAAAUGAAAAACAGAAAGAAAAAGGAGAAGAAACAUUUGAAACAGGGUCAUCUUCCCAUCCGCCUCCUCUCCUUUUCCUUUCAUUUUUGGAGGCGGCACAGGAAAGCCCCACUUCCAGUCUGAUGAGGAAAGCGACAAUCUAUCAGGUACAGAACCAGGGGCUGUCUGCGAAGAUGGAGGGGAAUUAUGCUUCGGAUUCCUCUGAAAUAUUGGCCAAAGGCUUCAAAGAAUCCGCAGCGGGAGGUGCGGGGGGAAUGUCUCUCCCCAGCCCGCACCCAGCCCUUCCCACUUCGCGUCUACCAAAUGACAGCCUGGUGCUCGCUCUUGGUGAUUUGGCCUUGACUUCAGCCAAGCAGCUGAUGCAGACGAAGGCUCCGUUUGCAGGACUGGCAAAGUGCACGCUAAAGAAAGAAGGAAGAAAUUUUUCAGAAAGCAGCUCUGGGGAGGUUUCAUACUCCCUUUUUUUUUUUUUUUUUAAUUUUUAAGUGAAUAUUUUCCAAAUUUGAUCAGUUCCAGCCCCUCCCUCCACUCCCACCCAACUGCCCUUUUUUCUCUCGUCAAAGCAUAAGCUACAGAGUUACAGUCUCGAGAUUUGGUGUAUCGCUUCCUGCCCCCGCCUCCCCUCCCCGCCCCCGUUCUCCGUCCUCUAUUGAAACACCUCGCCCAGCCUAGCGCACUGAGAGCUCUCAUUUCCCCCCCUUGCUCGGGAUGGUGCCACAGGAGGCUGUGCGGGCCCCGCUCUGCUUCGAAUGGAUAACCCUCCUUCCUCCACCUCACAAAAGCUCACAAGCUGCAACCCUUCUGAUGUCCGCUCCCACACGAGCCAGCUUCAGGCCUUUUUCAAGUUCUGUAGGUCAGAAUUCUGACAUGGAUCUCACUGGGCUAAAACCAAGCUGUUGGCAUGGCUGAAUUCCUUCUGGAAACUCUAAUGUGACUGGAGUGAUUUGCACCCGGAUGCCUAGACUCGCCAUCUGCUCAAAGAUUGCUCAGAAAGCCCUCUCAUGCAUUCCCCUGCUGCAUACCAGCCCACUCUGCCUGCAGCUGCUGUCUGCAGGACUUCACAUCUACGCCACACUGUUUAAAAGCUGUGCUUCAAGAAAUCACAAAAACAUAUGACUGCACCUACUACACAGCCUAAAUGCGGCAUAAGUUGACCUUGCUUUCUAAGAAGUGGGGCAAGAAAUGCUUUUUUGUGUGUGUCAUGUCUGUUUGUUUUUCAAUUAAGAGAGGAAAGCAUUAGGCAGAUGGAAUGUACAUGCGAGGAUGAGGAGACAGAAAACAAGUAGCCCUUUCCAUCAAGAUAAAGAGUUUUCUGGGGUCGCUGGCUCUUGAAUGUCACUCCUGAUUUCUCUUUCCAAGGCACUGUACCACCAGCCUACUGAGAUUGUGUGGGAGCUUUCAUGGGGGUUAUAUUUCACUAAUGGAAAUAAAUUUUGUGCAUAAUCUGAA